rnacentral:rRNA from 1 species
UGAGGAAUUUUCCGCAAUGGGCGCAAGCCUGACGAAGCAACGCCGCGUGCAGGACGACGGCCUUCGGGUUGUAAACUGCUUUUCUGGGGGACGAGCAAGGACGGUACCCCAGGAAUCAGCCCCGGCUAACUACGUGCCAGCAGCCGCGGUAAUACGUAGGGGGCAAGCGUUGUCCGGAGUUACUGGGCGUAAAGCGCACGCAGGCGGUUGCACGCGUUUCCGGUGCCAGCUCGUUGCUUAACGACGGGAGUGCCGGGAAGACGGUGUGACUCGAGCACCUCAGAGGGACAUAGAAUUCUGGGUGGAGUGGUGAAAUGCGUAGAUAUCCGGAGGAAUACCAAUGGCGAAGGCAGUGUCCUGGGAGGUCGCUGACGCUAAGGUGCGAAAGCCAGGGGAGCGAACGGGAUUAGAUACCCCGGUAGUCCUGGCCGUAAACGAUGACCAUUAGGCGUGUGGGGUAUCGACCCCCUGCGUGCCGAAGUUAACACAUGAAAUGGUCCGCCUGGGGAGUACGGUCGCAAGAUUA